CUCUUUGUCCUCUUCCUGUGCUGGGUCCGAGCUGGUGGCCGGGCCGGGUGGAGCAGCAGUUCCAGCCCCGGGUGUCCCUGGAGCGGUGGGAGCUGCCGGUGGCCCCAGGCACCAUCCCCUGAGGAGCUGCUGAGGGACGCUGCACUGAAGACCUUGAAAACAACCACAGACUGGUGGGAGCCAGCAGAGAGAGAAGCUGAAGGCCACCAGCAAGAGCAGUGAACAGGGAUGUGCUGCUGCCACUCGAGACCCCGGGUGAGGCCACAGAUAUCCCAUGUGCUGUCCCUGUGAUGUCCCUGCUCCUCCAGUGCAGAGCAGGAGGGCUGCUCUGCACUGGAGGAGGAGACCGAGGGAGAGCCCAGGAGCAUCAGCAGCUGCAAUCCCUCCUAAUUUAGUUUUAGUUAGAGAUGUUUACAUUUGGACUGAGAGAGUUAGAAGUUUAUGCUUAUUCAGCUGUGUAGACCGAUAUUUAGAGAGGUAUAUAUGUAUGUAUAUUGUUAUAUUGAUGCAUGUAUAUUGAUGUGUUUACAUCUGUAUUUAUAUAUACGGGUUCAGAUGUACAGCUGUAUAGUUCUGUUGAUGGAGUUGUAAGGA